AGUUUGAUCCUGGCUCAGAUUGAACGCUGGCGGCAGGCCUAACACAUGCAAGUCGAGCGGUAGAGAGAAGCUUGCUUCUCUUGAGAGCGGCGGACGGGUGAGUAAUGCCUAGGAAUCUGCCUGGUAGUGGGGGAUAACGCUCGGAAACGGACGCUAAUACCGCAUACGUCCUACGGGAGAAAGCAGGGGACCUUCGGGCCUUGCGCUAUCAGAUGAGCCUAGGUCGGAUUAGCUAGUUGGUGAGGUAAUGGCUCACCAAGGCGACGAUCCGUAACUGGUCUGAGAGGAUGAUCAGUCACACUGGAACUGAGACACGGUCCAGACUCCUACGGGAGGCAGCAGUGGGGAAUAUUGGACAAUGGGCGAAAGCCUGAUCCAGCCAUGCCGCGUGUGUGAAGAAGGUCUUCGGAUUGUAAAGCACUUUAAGUUGGGAGGAAGGGCAUUAACCUAAUACGUUGGUGUUUUGACGUUACCGACAGAAUAAGCACCGGCUAACUCUGUGCCAGCAGCCGCGGUAA
rnacentral:rRNA from 1 species